rnacentral:rRNA from 1 species
CGACGCUCUCGACCUUCGGGUCACAUGAGAGAGUGGCGAACGGGUGCGUAACACGUGAGAAACCUGCCCCAAAGACGGGAAUAGCCCGAGGAAACUCGGAUUAAUACCCGAUACCUCCACAAUGUCGCAUGGCAUUGUGAAGAAAGUUCAGGCGCUUUGGGAGGGUCUCGCGGCCUAUCAGCUUGUUGGUGAGGUAACGGCUCACCAAGGCAUCGACGGGUAGCUGGUCUGAGAGGACGAUCAGCCACACUGGGACUGAGACACGGCCCAGACUCCUACGGGAGGCAGCAGUAGGGAAUCUUGCGCAAUGGGCGAAAGCCUGACGCAGCAACGCCGCGUGGGGGAUGAAUGCCUUCGGGUUGUAAACCCCUUUCAGCAGGGACGAAAAUGACGGUACCUGCAGAAGAAGCUCCGGCCAACUACGUGCCAGCAGCCGCGGUAAUACGUAGGGAGCGAGCGUUGUCCGGAAUUAUUGGGCGUAAAGAGCUCGUAGGCGGUUCAGUAAGUCGGGUGUGAAAACUCAAGGCUCAACCUUGAGACGCCACUCGAUACUGCUGUGACUUGAGUCCGGUAGAGGAGUGUGGAAUUCCUGGUGUAGCGGUGAAAUGCGCAGAUAUCAGGAGGAACACCAGCGGCGAAGGCGGCACUCUGGGCCGGUACUGACGCUGAG